UACGUACGAGGCGAGCGUUAUCCGGAAUACUGGGCGUAAAGCGCGCGCAGGUGGCGAUGUAAGUGAGACGUGAAAUCUCCCGGCCUAACUGGGAGGGGUCGUUUCAGACUGCAUGGCUUGAGGACUGCAGAGGUGGGUGGAAUUCCUGGUGUAGUGGUGAAAUGCGUAGAGAUCAGGAGGAACACCGGUGGCGAAGGCGGCCAUCUGGCUCGGUACUGACGCUCAGGCGCGAAAGCGUGGGGGAGCAAACAGG
rnacentral:rRNA from 1 species